GCCUGAGUGGCUCAACUGGUUGGGCGUCUGACUUUGGCUCAGGUCAUGAUCUUGCAGUUUGUGAGUUCAAGUCCUGCAUCUGGCU
rnacentral:tRNA from 1 species